AUUAACUAUUUGCUCUUCGACUCUAGACUUGAAUGGUUUCAGUAUAGCUUCAAGCCUUCAAAUGUCAGCCAUAAACAUAAUACUAUAUUAGUAACUCACCUCAUACUGAAUUCUUGGCAGCUGGACGAAUGCAUUAUUUUAAUAUUGUUAUAUGGUUAAUGGUGUUAGCUUGAUCCUUCUUGAUUCUCUUUUUAUGAUUAGGUAAAUAAAUUAAAAGGAAAUCUGUCAUUUGAUCCUACUAGUGUUAUUUUUCAAUUAAAAAUACUCCUUUUUCGUGUGAUAUACUCAAAUGUGCAAUAUAGGAUCAAUUACUUUUCUUUUUCAUUGUGAUUUUUGUUAGA
rnacentral:misc_RNA from 1 species